CAGCCGCCACGGUAAUACGAAGGGGGCUAGCGUUGCUCGGAAUGACUGGGCGUAAAGGGCGCGUAGGCGGUUCACGCAGUCAGAUGUGAAAUUCCUGGGCUUAACCUGGGGGCUGCAUUUGAGACGCGUGGGCUUGAGUGUGAAAGAGGGUCGUGGAAUUCCCAGUGUAGAGGUGAAAUUCGUAGAUAUUGGGAAGAACACCGGUGGCGAAGGCGGCGACCUGGUUCACAACUGACGCUGAGGCGCGAAAGCGUGGGGAGCAAACAGGAUUAGAUACCCCCGUAGUCCCUGUCUCUUAUAC
rnacentral:rRNA from 1 species